UGCAAUGAUGGCGUAAUUUGCGUCUGACUCUGUUCUCAGCGACAGUUGCCUGCUGUCACUAGGCUGGUACAGAAGGUUGACGGAAAUUCUUACUGAGCA
ensembl:snoRNA SNORD16 Small nucleolar RNA SNORD16